rnacentral:rRNA from 1 species
CGUACACUCCUGCGGGAGGCAGCAGUGGGGAAUAUUGCACAAUGGGCGCAAGCCUGAUGCAGCCAUGCCGCGUGUAUGAAGAAGGCCUUCGGGUUGUAAAGUACUUUCAGCGGGGAGGAAGGCGAUAAGGUUAAUAACCUUGUUGAUUGACGUUACCCGCAGAAGAAGCACCGGCUAACUCCGUGCCAGCAGCCGCGGUAAUACGGAGGGUGCAAGCGUUAAUCGGAAUUACUGGGCGUAAAGCGCACGCAGGCGGUCUGUCAAGUCGGAUGUGAAAUCCCCGGGCUCAACCUGGGAACUGCAUUCGAAACUGGCAGGCUAGAGUCUUGUAGAGGUGGGUAGAAUUCCAGGUGUAGCGGUGAAAUGCGUAGAGAUCUGGAGGAAUACCGGUGGCGAAGGCGGCCCCCUGGACAAAGACUGACGCUCAGGUGCGAAAGCGUGGGGAGCAAACAGGAUUAGAUACCCUUGUAGUCCC